rnacentral:piRNA from 1 species
UAGGAAGGAUGCAAAUAUCUGUCAGCAGC